rnacentral:rRNA from 1 species
CCUACGGGGGGCAGCAGUGAGGAAUAUUGGUCAAUGGUCGGGAGCCUGAACCAGCCAAGCCGCGUGAGGGAUGAAGGUACAGAGUAUCGUAAACCUCUUUUGUCAGGGAACAAAGGCGGGGACGUGUCCCCGGAUGAGUGUACCUGAAGAAAAAGCAUCGGCUAACUCCGUGCCAGCAGCCGCGGUAAUACGGAGGAUGCGAGCGUUAUCCGGAUUUAUUGGGUUUAAAGGGUCCGCAGGCGGUCUGUUAAGUCAGCGGUCAAAGCCCGGGGCUCAACCCCGCCCCGCCGUUGAAACUGGCAGUCUCGAGUUGGAGAGAAGUAUGCGGAAUGCGCGGUGUAGCGGUGAAAUGCAUAGAUAUCGCGCAGAACUCCGAUUGCGAAGGCAGCAUGCCGGCUCCACACUGACGCUGAGGCACGAAAGCGUGGGUUUCGAACAGGAUUAGAUACCCUGGUAGUC